GACGAACGCUGGCGGCGUGCCUAAUACAUGCAAGUAGAACGCUGAAGGAGGAGCUUGCUUCUCUGGAUGAGUUGCGAGCGGGUGAGUAACGCGUAGGUAACCUGCCUGGUAGCGGGGGAUAACUAUUGGAAACGAUAGCUAAUACCGCAUAAUAGUAGAUGUUGCAUGACAUUUGCUUAAAAGGUGCAAUUGCAUCACUACCAGAUGGACCUGCGUUGUAUUAGCUAGUUGGUGAGGUAACGGCUCACCAAGGCGACGAUACAUAGCCGACCUGAGAGGGUGAUCGGCCACACUGGGACUGAGACACGGCCCAGACUCCUACGGGAGGCAGCAGUAGGGAAUCUUCGGCAAUGGACGGAAGUCUGACCGAGCAACGCCGCGUGAGUGAAGAAGGUUGUCGGAUCGUAAAGCUCUGUUGUAAGAGAAGAACGAGUGUGAGAGUGGAAAGUUCACACUGUGACGGUAUCUUACCAGAAAGGGACGGCUAACUACGUG
rnacentral:rRNA from 1 species